GAUGAACGCUGGCGGUAUGCUCAACACAUGCAAGUCGAACGGGGCACUUUCAGGUGCUUAGUGGCGGACGGGUGAGUAACGCGUGAGAACAUGCCCUUAGGUCUGGGACAACAGUUGGAAACGGCUGCUAAUAUCGGAUGUGCCUAUAUGGUGAAAGAUUUAUUGUCUAAGGAUUGGCUCGCGUCCGAUUAGCUAGUUGGAGUGGUAAUGGCACACCAAGGCAAUGAUCUGUAGCUGGUCUGAGAGGAUGAUCAGCCACACUGGGACUGAGACACGGCCCAGACUCCUACGGGAGGCAGCAGUGGGGAAUUUUCCGCAAUGGGCGCAAGCCUGACGGAGCAAGACCGCGUGGGGAGAA
rnacentral:rRNA from 1 species